rnacentral:sRNA from 1 species
CGGAGUUUCACUAUGUUGGCCAGGCUGGUCUAGAACUCCUGAUCUCAAGUGAUCUGCCCGCCUCGGCCUCCCAAAGUGCUGGGAUUGCAGGCGUGAGACACUGCACCCGGACAAUUUUCCUUUUCUUACAAGAACACUGCUCACACUGCAUUCAGGGCCAACCCUAACCCAGUAUCGCCUCAUCCUGAUUUGAUUAUAGCGGCACAGACCUUGCUUCCGAGUGAGGCUACUUUCUCAGGUACUGGUGGACAUGAGUCUUCGGAGACACUGCUCAACCCACAGCACUCCUCCAGCUUGGUUUCUGUGACUUGUCUUCCCCAGAGGAGGGGUGCCCUGAGAGGUCUCCACUCCCUGACCGGCUCCUUGGUGCCGCGCACUCUGCGAGGCUUCCCAGGGAACAGAGCACACAGGACCACCCUCCUGGGCAGACCAAUCAGCAUCUGAGCUCACAGUUUCCCAGCAGGGCUGUAGGGUGGAGAGAGAAGCCUGGGCUGGGCUGGGCUGGGCUGGGCUGGGGAAGCUUCUCUGGGGAGGGGACGUCAGAGCAGGAUCUGGGGCUGAUAAAAGCCCACCCCUGGGUAGGGGCAGAGUGGGGCAGGGGGCUGAGCCCCACACGUGGGGAUGGAGGACAGGCUGUGGGAGGGUGUGAACCGGAGACUGCUUGAAGGGGUGCUGGGGACUUUGAGAGAGGGUGGCUGGCCCUGUCUGGUCGGGGAUGCUGGCCCAGACACAGGCCAUGGCUGGGAUGGGGUUCAGGAACAGGACUGCUGCCUCUCCCGGGCCAGGGCCCUCCCCAGCUGCUCCUGGCUUUCCGGUUCUUGGGGUUGGGGGCGGGCCUGUGCCAUGACCCCGCCACUGAGGCUGUGAGGAGGCUGUGGGUGCCCAAGGGCACCAAGGCACACCCCUACUCUCGCACCCCAUGUGUGGGCCCGAGCACCUGUUCUGCUGCCCCAAAGAUCUGGCGAGGUUUCCCAGGCAACUGUCUCUCACAGCCUGUCUGCCUGGCACUCCCGUAUCCCAUAAAUGCCACCACAUCUGGCUAUGGGCGGGCAUGCCUGCCUGGCAUCCACGGGCCAGCAGGUGUGGCGGAGCACAGCCCACUUCCUGGCUGCGUCAGAAGGCUGCCAGGGCCUUUUGGCUGUCCUUGCCAGCAGGCGAGCACUGCCAGGGCACUGUGCGUGGGUGCUGGGCCAUUCUGCCAUGUGGGAAGGGGUGGAGGCAGCCCAGUGCCUUCAGCAUGUGCCUAGGGUGCCUGUCAGCUACAGGUCUCACUUGGAAAUUGGGAGGGUGCACGGCCACCAGGCUGCUUAGGCCUGCCAGCCUCAGGGCCUGUCACCGCUGUCUUAGCCUGAUUUGCAGGGUGUCAGCGCUGGGCAGAGAUGAUCAUUUGGGUGACUCUGAGGAUGCCAGUGGCUGGGACACUUGUUCUUUCGCGGUGGAAGGAGUUGGAGAGGGCUGGUUCCCUGACCUGCGGCCAGCCUGGCUUCUGAAACCAGCUCAGUGGGCUGGGGCCUGAUUCAUCAUCCAUAAAUGCGUCCUUUUAUGCCACAGUGGGUAAGGGGCCUCCUAGCCCACCGGUCUGCAGGUGCGGGAGUAGGAGAUGGGUGGCUCUGAUGCCCCCACCCACUCGAGCAGCUUCUGCUCUGCCUGGGAUGCAAACUCCCACAGCUGAAACAUUCUUUUGUAAACAUGAAUUUUGGCUUAGAAAAAACUCAUUUCCACAGUGCACGUGUCAGUCCCAACCAGAAAUUAUUUUCCAAUAAAGCAAAACUCCCUGUCACCACAGCAGCAGAUGGCGCCGAAGAAGUGGAGCCUUUUCAUCAGGUUCAACUUUGAAACUUCCACCAGCACCAUCACCAGCACAACUGUGUCGUGCUGAUAACUUGAGGACAGGCAGGACAAGGCCUUCUGGCGGCCGCCCGUGGUUUCUCCUGGGGAGUGAUGAGCGGGAGCGGCUCUGGGCCGAGCUGCUGCGCACGGUGAGCCCAGAGCUGAUCCUGGAUCACGAGGUGCCUCCACUGCCCGCCUUCCCUGGACAGGAGCCCAGGUGCGGCCCGGAGCCCACUGAAGUCUUCACUGUCGGACCCAAGACCUUUUCCUGGACACCCUUUCCGCCGGACCUGUGGGGCCCGGGCCGUUCCUAUCGGCUGCUUCGCGGGGCAGGAGGGCACCUGGAAUCCCCCGCCAGGUCCCUGCCCCAGCGCCCGGCACCUGAUCCCUGCAGGGCCCCCAGGGUGGAGCAGCAGCCGUCUGUGGAGGGUGCCGCGGCCCUGCGCAGCUGCCCCAUGUGCCAGAAGGAGUUCGCCCCCAGGCUGAGCCAGCUGGAUGUUGACAGCCACCUGGCCCAGUGUUUGGCCGAAAGCACAGAAGACGCGAUGUGGUGAGCGCCAUCCGGAGAGCCCUGCGCAGUGUGUGACGCCCGGACACGCGCUCUCCCGCCAGAAGCCCCGCCUCUCGGCUCCCCCGCAUGCGCAUUAAAGCAGGGCGGGCUCCUGUCUGUCUCUCCUCGUGUUGUGAUGAAA